rnacentral:rRNA from 1 species
CGCAUCUGUGCAUGCAGCAUAUCAAUAAGCGGAGGAAAAGAAACUAACAAGGAUUCCCCUAGUAACGGCGAGUGAAGCGGGAAGAGCUCAAAUUUGAAAUCUUAAAGGGUUUCCCUUUACGAAUUGUAGUUUAAAGAAGUGUUUUCUGUUGAGGUUUUGGUAAAAGUUCUUUGGAAUAGGACAUCAUAGAGGGUGAGAAUCCCGUAUUUGACCUUUACUUUCAACUUUGUGAUACACUUUAAAGAGUCGGAUUGUUUGGGAAUGCAGUCCAAAAUGGGUGGUAAAUUUCAUCUAAAGCUAAAUAUUGGCGAGAGACCGAUAGCGAACAAGUACCGUGAGGGAAAGAUGAAAAGAACCUUGAAAAGAGAGUUAAACAGUACGUGAAAUUGUCAAAAGGGAAGCGUUUGACACCAGUGUUGUUUUUCUGAAAAUCAAUUAAAGAACUGUUUAUGCUAAGCUGUUUAGACUUUAUCAGCUAUCUGUUUAGUUUUGAGCUUUUCUUUAAUGCACUUUUCAGUUAACAAGUCAACAUCAAUUUCUUUUGCUGUAAAAAAGCUUGAGGAAGGUGGCUUGAGAUUCGUCUUAAGUGUUUAUAGCCUCUUGCCUAUGCAGUCGGAGAGAUUGAGGUCUGCAGCGUAGAUCCUUCGGGGCUAAAUGCAUUUGUGCUAAGUUAUAGCAUUUUAUAGACAACUUGUUGACUAUGAUUUGUCUUGUAGCUUACUCGCUUAUGUUAUUUUACCUACGCUUAGGAUGUUGAGCGCAUGUCUCUCUCU